rnacentral:rRNA from 1 species
AACGAACGCUGGCGGCAUGCCUAACACAUGCAAGUCGAACGAGACCUUCGGGUCUAGUGGCGCACGGGUGCGUAACGCGUGGGAACCUGCCCUUAGGUUCGGAAUAACUCCCCGAAAGGGGUGCUAAUACCGGAUAAUGUCUUCGGACCAAAGACUUAUCGCGUUUGGAUGGGCCCGCGUUGGAUUAGCUAGUUGGUAGGGUAAAAGCCUACCAAGGCGACGAUCCAUAGCUGGUCGGAGAGGAGGAUCCUCCGGGAUGGGGAUGAGACACGGCCCAGUCCGGUACGGGAGGGAGCAGUGGGGAAUAUUAGACACUGGGGGAAAGCCUGAUACAGCAAUGCCGGGUGAGUGAUGAAGGCCUUAGGGUUGUAAAGCUCUUUUACACGAGAUGAUAAUGACAGUACCGGGAGAAUAAGCUCCGGCUAACUACGUG